rnacentral:rRNA from 1 species
UUACGGGAGGCAGCAGUGGGGAAUUUUGCGCAAUGGGGGAAACCCUGACGCAGCAACGCCGCGUGAGUGAAGAAGGCCUUCGGGUUGUAAAGCUCUGUCAAGUGGGAAGAAACUUUCUCGAUCGAAUAAGUCGAGAGAUUGACGGUACCGCUGAAGGAAGCACCGGCUAACUCCGUGCCAGCAGCCGCGGUAAUACGGAGGGUGCAAGCGUUAUUCGGAUUUAUUGGGCGUAAAGGGCGUGUAGGUGGUCUGAUAAGUCAGGUGUGAAAGCCCCUGGCUCAACCAGGGAAGUGCACUUGAAACUAUCAGACUUGAGUACGGGAGGGGGAAAUGGAAUUCCUGGUGUAGAGGUGAAAUUCGUAGAUAUCAGGAGGAAUACCGGUGGCGAAGGCGAUUUCCUGGACCGAUACUGACACUGAGACGCGAAAGCGUGGGGAGCAAACAGGAUUAGAUACCCGUGUAGUC